CUUUGAUAAGUAGGUGUUCUCUUAUAUGCAUUUGAUACGGUACAUUUAUGAUGGAUAUAUUUCAGACUUCAUUUAUGAAAGGAAAUCUAUAGAGCAGAAAUUUAAUCUUUUUUGUAUCAAUUAAAAAUAUGAAUUCAAAUAUUUUUCACUUCAAACAAUACGCUAAAACUUCUUCAAAUCUUAUAAAUGAUGUAUAGUUCGGCAUACGCAAAAAAAGAAGCCUAGUUAUUUCAUCAAAAUGAAGAAUAGAAGUCUGUUCUUUAUUGUACUCGUUGUUUGUGCUAAACUAGUGAAUACAUCAUGUCCGUCGACUUGCAGUUGUAGUAACUCAACAUUAGGGUUUGAUGUAUACUGUUAUUCCAAAUCCUUUGAACGUAUUCCAGACUUACCAAAUGAUACAUACCGCCUGAAUUUUGCGUACAACAGAAUACACGACAUUGAUGAUAAAUUUUGUGAAAAGAUGCCACUUUUACAAACCAUGUA